rnacentral:rRNA from 1 species
CCUACGGGAGGCAGCAGUGAGGAAUAUUGGUCAAUGGGCGGGAGCCUGAACCAGCCAAGUCGCGUGAGGGAAGACGGCCCUAUGGAUUGUAAACCUCUUUAGGCGGGGAGCAAUGCCGGGUACGUGUGCCCGGAGGGAGAGUACCCGAAGAAUAAGCAUCGGCUAACUCCGUGCCAGCAGCCGCGGUAAUACGGAGGAUGCGAGCGUUAUCCGGAUUUAUUGGGUUUAAAGGGUGCGUAGGCGGAUUGUUAAGUCAGCGGUAAAAUGUCCGGGCUCAACCCGGGCCGGCCGUUGAAACUGGUGAUCUUGAGUGGGCGAGAAGUAUGCGGAAUGCGUGGUGUAGCGGUGAAAUGCAUAGAUAUCACGCAGAACUCCGAUUGCGAAGGCAGCAUACCGGCGCCCGACUGACGCUGAGGCACGAAAGCGUGGGGAGCGAACAGGAUUAGAUACCCUGGUAGUC